rnacentral:rRNA from 1 species
AUUGAACGCUGGCGGCAGGCCUAACACAUGCAAGUCGGACGAGCGGCGGACGGGUGAGUAAUGUAUGGGAAUCUGCCUGAUGGAGGGGGAUAACUACUGGAAACGGUAGCUAAUACCGCAUACCAUCAGAUGUACCCAUAUGGGAUUAGCUUGUUGGUGGGGUAAAGGCUCACCUAGGCGACGAUCCCUAGCUGGUCUGAGAGGAUGACCAGCCACACUGGAACUGAGACACGGCCCAGACUCCUACGGGAGGCAGCAGUGGGGAAUAUUGCACAAUGGGCGCAAGCCUGAUGCAGCCAUGCCGCGUGUAUGAAGAAGGCCUUCGGGUUGUAAAGUACUUUCAGCGGGGAGGCGUUACCCGCAGAAGAAGCACCGGCUAACUCCGUGCCAGCAGCCGCGGUAAUAC